rnacentral:lncRNA from 1 species
UGCCCCUCUCCCCGCCCCAGGUGCGCGGGGCUGGGAUAUGAGCCAGUCACUGCCUUUGUGCCUUUCCUUCUCUCUCCGCUGCCGGGUUCAACCAGCGGACAGUGGGGGAACGGCGGGCAGGUCGGUGGAGUUAGAUGACAGUAAAGGUGGGCCGGCUCUGUGUGAUAAGAUUCCAACUGGGUCCGACCGCUUCCGUCCGCUGGCGCCGGGUCCCCCAGACGUCUGCGGCGAGCGUUGGAACUGACCAUCAACCUGGGAUUUCUAAGGAAUAACAGAUAACUCUGGUCAGCAGCACUACCACUUUUGUCCACUAGAUGUCGCUCCUUCACUACGUUGUUUCUUCCUCUCCAAUUGUUUCCACAGUAUUUUCAGUUGCUCUUCAUUUUGUUUUUAUUUUUCCUUUUACUUUUCUUACUCCUCUUUCUACACACUGAAGUUGCUGUUGUUUUACGUUUACUUCCUUUUUUUUUUUGAGAAAAGUUGGCGUGUGAGAAUGCGAUCUCGGCUCAUCGCAGCCUGGACCUUCCUGGGCUCCGUCAGGUGAUCUUGCCAUCUCAGUCUUCCAAGUGGCUGAGACUGCAGGAAUAGCUUGAUUCUGGGAUGUCGAAGCUGCAGUGAGCCAUGAUCACGCCACUGCCCUCCAGCCUGAGUGACAGAGAAAGACCCUGUUUCAGAAAAGACGAGGCUUCACCAUGUUGCCAAGUAUGGUCUUGAUUGCCUGGGAUCAAGGAAUCCACCCGCCCUCAGGCUCCCAAUGUUCGAGAAUUAAAGGCGUGAGCCACUGCUCCUGACAGC